rnacentral:rRNA from 1 species
GACGAACGCUGGCGGCGUGCUUAACACAUGCAAGUCGAACGGAAAGGCCCUGCUUUUGUGGGGUGCUCGAGUGGCGAACGGGUGAGUAACACGUGAGUAACCUGCCCUUGACUUUGGGAUAACUUCAGGAAACUGGGGCUAAUACCGGAUAGGAGCGCCUGCUGCAUGGUGGGGGUUGGAAAGUUUCGGCGGUUGGGGAUGGACUCGCGGCUUAUCAGCUUGUUGGUGGGGUAGUGGCUUACCAAGGCUUUGACGGGUCGCCGGCCUGAGAGGGUGACCGGCCUCAUUGGGACUGCGAUACGGCGCAGACUCCUACGGGAGGCAGCAGUGGGGAAUCUUGCACAAUGGGCGGAAGCCUGAUGCAGAAACGCCGCGUGCGGGAUGACGGCCUUCGGGUUGUAAACCGCUUUCGCCUGUGACGAAGCGUGAGUGACGGUAAUGGGUAAAGAAGCACCGGCUAACUACGUG